AGCAGUAGCCACGGGAAUACGUAGGUCCCGAGCGUUGUCCGGAUUUAUUGGGCGUAAAGGGAGCGCAGGCGGUUUAGUAAGUCUGAAGUUAAAGGCAUUGGCUCAACCAAUGUAUGCUUUGGAAACUGUUAGACUUGAGUGCAGAAGGGGAGAGUGGAAUUCCAUGUGUAACGGUGAAAUGCGUAGAUAUUAGGAGGAACACCGGAGGCGAAGGCGGCUUACUGGACGACAACUGACGUUGAGGCUCGAAGGCGUGGGGAGCAAACAGGAUUAGAGACCCCCGUAGUCCCUGUCUCUUAUACA
rnacentral:rRNA from 1 species